GCCACUGUACUCCAGCCUGGGUGACAGGGAAAGACCCUGUCUCCAAAACAACAACAACAACAACAAAAAAAACCCGUCCGGUUUUUACUUUGUAUUCUUUAACACAGUUGUUCAAUUUGUUAGGGUGCUGAAAGUAUAGGGUAAUUUUUAAGUUUUACGUCUAUUAAUUUUGUAGUGUUGUUUUUACAAUAGCUUAACAAAAUUUUAUUUUUGUUGAGACAGGGUCUCGCUGUUGCCCAGGCUGCAGUGCAGUGGUGAGAUGUUGGCUCACUGCAGCUUCUGCCUCCCAGACUCAUGUGAUCCUCCUACUUCAGCCUCCUGAAUAGCAGGGACUACAGGCCACAGCAUAGAACAUCUCCAGCUUAGACACAGUCUCGUUCCUAACUGCCAGUUCUCAGCCACAAUGGCUCAAAGAAGCCGAAGGCUCUGGAUGGAAGAAAAUUGCUUUCCACAGGCAAAAAUGGAAGAUAUCUGCACACACUGCAAGUGCACAGACAUCAGAAGAGAGCACUGCAUUCCACAUGGCAUCCAUCUGGUAUGAAACCCCGCAUUUUUUAAUAAACGAGAAGCCUGUUCCAUAUAUAGGGAGACUCCUGAAAA